GCAAGGUCAAACAAUGGGACUGCUACAGAGUUACAAACAUAGUUGAAAUUAGUGUUUUCUAUUGACGGUAUGAUCUACUGAAAAAUGUGGACAUUGAUGUUGAUGAAUUAAGUGAUAAGCCAACACUGGCUGGGAACUAUGUGGAGACGUAGAUCAAUCCAUAUUUAAAGUCGCUGGUGCUUACCAAGAUUGGUCGCCACUUCAUCCAGUGAGAUCCAGAUGGGGCUGUGUGGCGGUGGGUAAUCAGGGUAGAGGGCCAGGAACUUCUGGCACAGCAGACCCAGACUCUUCUGCUUCCUGCUCGGCUUUUUGUCGGCAUCGUCCUCUUCCUCCACGGCUUCGAACUGGACCAACAAAUAAAGCAUCCAGACUUGCUGGCUUGUCCUUCUCAUUCUCUAUGGGUCUGAACAGUACUUUUUUCAUCUCUCUGUCGCGGAUGUCUGGGCUGGCGGCGCUGAUCAGCAUCUUCAGAUUGGCUGUAGGCGUCCAGGGCUCGACC